ensembl:lncRNA
GUGAGGGUGCAAAUGAUGUCCGAAAAGGUUCUUAUUUUGAAUCAUUUACUGGAAACACCAUGGUCGCGUUAGAAACUUUUUUGUGAGUGAGAAGAAAAUUGCAAGACUGACCAGAUUCAAGAGUGAAACUCAUCUGUGUCAAUGUGUGUUGGCCCAAGUAGGACACUCAUGCAAACACACCGCCCUUUUACUAACAAGGUGUGUGAGGCAGCUGAUCUCCUGCUCAUCCCCCAGUUAUAUCUGUGGGCUUUGUGGUGAAUGAACAUGGAUAGUCAUUUCAUCUCCUAAUCAACAAGAGAAUGAGUACUGGAAUAACAUCUUGGCAUCACCAGGAAGAGAAAGAAUCUAGAAUCCCUGCCAGGGUCUCUGAGCAUGUCAAGCAAUUUGAAUCGGCACAUCACAGCCUUCUUGUGCUUUGGGACACUGGACAGCACUUCAGCACUACCAUCGGGGGCCAUUUUAAACAGCGAACCAACAAAAAGCACAAAAGCGAGAAAAAUGUGGUGCUAAAUAGAUCAGGAAAAGGACACCUGUUUACAAUAAGAUAGCUGAAACAAGAAGGGAGAGCAUCACUUUGUUGGACUAUAGCUGGGGAUGCACACAAUGGAAUACAAUGGAGAACAUAUUCCAGACUGUCGAGAGCUUGCUACUAACUCCAACGGCCCCGACAUGGGUACAGAUAAGGAGAAAAAAAUGGAGGCAAUUUUUUUUCCCCUGCAGAGAUUUCAGAGAUUGAAGCUAAGACAUCCAGUUGCAUUUGAAAAUCGCGUUACCUGCCCACUUAAUGGUUUCGGAGACCCCAUCGUCUCUGAGAGGCCACAUGGAGCAAAACACAGUUAUCUGAACCAAGGGCUUCUUAGACCAGCCAGCCCCCAGCUGACCCACUAGCAGAUCGCUGAUGCAUGCGUGAAUCCAGUCAAGAUGAGCUGAGCCCAACCUAUAUCAGAACAGUCCAUCCGACCUACCAGCUAAAGAGAAGGAAGAGAAGUUUGUUGUUUACAUUGUUGCCGUUUAUUGACCAUAUACUACGUGCCAGAAAUUGCUAAAUUCAGAGAACACAAUGACGUAUGGAAUCUGAUCUCUUCUCUUGAAUAGGUCAAGAGCAUUCAAAGUGAGAUUAAGAUGGAAAGGGCUACAAUGUCUAUUUGACAGAUGGGAAAAACUGAGGUAUGAAAGAGUGCUAUGGUUUGCUUAAACGGGCACUGAGACAUUGAGGUUGCGCUACGAGGAGAAGGCCAGAACUUGGCCAUCCUUAAUGUAAGCAUUUACUCAGAGGAAAACUGUUAAUCAGUUGGAGAAAUGGAAAGAACACUUCCUUUCCAAUCUUCACCUCUCCUUUCAAAUAUUUAUUUUAAUUUGCACUUAUUUGGCAAUGUAGGAAAUAUAAAAAAUUUGCCCUAGCUUUGCUUACAUUUUAUGUGGGGAGAGGAGAUAUAACUGCCCAGAAUUUCAAUAACGACGCAAGAGUUUAAGGCCAAUAUUCACCAGCUAAAAUGAGACGAUCAUUUUGAAUUAUACUGUCCCCCAAUAGAUCACGGUCAUAUCCACCAGACUUUGAGCUCCUGGGACCUAGGACCUGCGUCUUGCUCAAUAUCGCAUGUCAGCAGCUAGCAGGGAAAUGAGUCAUUGAGAUAAUUAGGCAUACAGUUUGCUUUUGCUUUAAGAGGACCAAUUCUAAAUGGCAUUCCUGUUAUAUUUCCUUUUGUUUUUUCGUUUGUUUUGUUUUAACUUUAACAAGUAGAAUCAGAGCAUUUCAUGUCUAUCAUGGGGAGGAGAACCGACAUUUGUCAAACACUUGCCACAUUCUAGGCCCCAUGUCAGGCCUGUUAUGUUCUUAAUGAAUUUAAUCCUCACAGUGACCAUACGAGGCAGAUUUUUAUCUCUGGCCCUGUACAGAUGUCAAUACUGGGCCUCUCUGAGUAACCUGUCAAAUUUCACACAGUAAGUAUAUGGAAUAGAAUUUUUUUACUUAAAACUUAUUUCCUCUCUCCAUGCUAACACUCUACCUUGAAUCUCAGCUGGAUCAACCCCUUACCUAGUGACUUGUAAAUCUUCAAUUUGAAAAGUUUUGCAAUGAAGGGAGAGAGGAGGAAAGCCAUAGUUUAGAAGAGGACUCACACAUUUUCAGCUGGAGAACAGUGGGAGCCCCAGAGAUUAUGGAGUCGCCGUGGGAUAGAUUAGCAUGUGGGGUGUCUGACAGUUUAAAAGAGGGCUGGUUUAUUAUUACACUAUGAGUAGCCCUCGGAAACUGGGUGCCCUGAUUAUGAUAAUACAAGCUGUUCAGAUGAGAUUCUUCUUUACUCCAAGUUUGAAGCCCCAUGUUUUAGCAGCUGGAAAUGGGGGAUACGUGGAGCUUUCCUUAAGAAGAGCUGCCUUGCCUGUGUUUUCACAGUUUUGCCCGUUCGGUCAAGUGUGGAUGAAGCUGUUACUCUGGUCUCUCAUAAGGAAAGGGAGCCUUGUGUGUGGUGGGCAUGAGGUCAGCCUCUGAGGACAUAAACCUGAUGGAGACACAGGCCUCAUGAGGAGUUCACGGUGAACCUACAACCAGCGUUUAUGGAGCACCGGUGUGCCCGAAGGAAAACAGAGCCCAGAUAAUUUAAAGGACUCACAUGCGCUCCCAGAGCUAGUAAUUUCCCGAAUCCAUAACCAGGCCUCCAGAUAUGACAUCCAGGGACCAGCAACUCCAGUUUUAAGAAAAGAGCAAAGCCAGUUACAUCGUUCUGCACAAAGGCCCUGCUAGAGCUGAGCUACCCAGAGACCAGACCAGAGUGGAUUACUGAAUAUAACUAACCAAAUAAAAGUUAACUGAAGGACUAAAUGUGAUCACAUGGAGAAUGGACUCAUCUCUUGCCAGGAGUGAGCUUCUCAUCUACUGGCUUGGGGAGCAUUUGGCUGCCUUUUCCCCUUCCAGGCUGGGCAAACAGCUCAUUCUGAUGAUCUGAGAGAUGAGCCUCUGGUGAUGUCAGUCUCCCCCUGGGCACAGGGGCCCAUUAUCACAUGCACUUGACCUUCACUCUCCAAUAUGCUGGAUCUCAGCUCAGGAGUGACUCAGCGACGGUGAGCCUGUGCUCCUCCUUCAGAGAGGGCUGUGGUUUUCCUCAGGACAAAUGUUCCCAAAUGUUCCUGCAAAAUCUCCUUGCCAAGCCAGGUGCCUGAAGCCACAGCUCUCUGCCAUUUCAGACCUAAUUUAAGGUUUACUGGUACAUUAGGGACCGGGAAGAAGUUCACUGAAUUUGUUUCCCUAAGGAAACUAGGAUGAGAAUUUUUUACAUUUGCUUCUGCAGAUUCACUUUUUGCCCCCCUAAAUUUCACUAUGAAAAUGUUCCAACAUAUAGAAAAAUGGAAAGCACUCAUACGCCAAUCACCAAGAUUCUACCAUAAUCAUCUUACUAUAACUUACUCGCCUUAUCACAUAUUUAUCUAUUCAUUUAUCCCUCCAUCCAUCAAUCUUAUUACUACUAAUUUCUUUUUUGAGGAAGAUUAGCUCUGAGCUAACAUCUGUUGCCAAUCCUCCUCUUUUUGCUGAGGAAGACUGGCCCUGAGCUAACAUCCGUGCCCAUCUUCCUCUACCUUACACGUGGGACGCCUACCACAGCAUGGCUUGCCAAGCAGUGCCAUGUCCACACCCGGGAUCCAAACUAGCGAACCACGAGCUGCCGAAGCAGAAUGUGCGCAUUUACUUAACUGCUGAGCCACCGGGCCAACCUCUAUCUUAUUUUUUACAAAAAU